AAAACGGCCCUUUUCAGGGCUACCAAAUUGACCGCAGUGCUGCGU
rfam:Trichuris suis scaffold25.5, whole genome shotgun sequence.